AGAGUUUGAUCAUGGCUCAGGAUGGACGCUGGCGGCGUGCCUAACACAUGCAAGUCGAACGAAGCAUUUUGGAUGAGGUUUUCGGACGGAUUCCGGGAUGACUGAGUGGCGGACGGGUGAGUAACGCGUGGGCAACCUGCCCUGCACAGGGGGACAACAGCUGGAAACGGCUGCUAAUACCGCAUAAGCGCACAAAGACGCAUGUCUUAGUGUGAAAAGCUCCGGUGGUGCAGGAUGGGCCCGCGUUGGAUUAGGUAGUUGGUGGGGCAACGGCCUACCAAGCCGACGAUCCAUAGCCGACCUGAGAGGGUGACCGGCCACAUUGGGACUGAGACACGGCCCAAACUCCUACGGGAGGCAGCAGUGGGGAAUAUUGCACAAUGGGCGCAAGCCUGAUGCAGCGACGCCGCGUGAGCGAAGAAGUAUUUCGGUAUGUAAAGCUCUAUCAGCAGGGAAGAAAAUGACGGUACCUGCAUAAGAAGCUCCGGCUAAAUACGUGCCAGCAGCCGCGGUAAUACGUAUGGAGCAAGCGUUAUCCGGAUUUACUGGGUGUAAAGGGAGCGUAGACGGGACAGCAAGUCUGAUGUGGAAGGCGGGGGCCCAACCCCUGGACUGCAUUGGAAACUGCUGGCCUUGAGUGCCGGAGAGGUAAGCGGAAUUCCUAGUGUAGCGGUGAAAUGCGUAGAUAUUAGGAGGAACACCAGUGGCGAAGGCGGCUUACUGGACGGCAACUGACGUUGAGGCUCGAAAGCGUGGGGAGCAAACAGGAUUAGAUACCCUGGUAGUCCACGCCGUAACGA
rnacentral:rRNA from 1 species